CUUCACCGAACCCAGCAACAACGGCCGUUCACGCCCCUGCCCGUAGGCCGCGAGCAAUGCUUGCGCCUC
rnacentral:antisense_RNA from 1 species